rnacentral:rRNA from 1 species
UACGAAGGGGGCUAGCGUUGCUCGGAAUUACUGGGCGUAAAGCGCACGUAGGUGGCUUUUUAAGUCAGGGGUGAAAUCCUGGAGCUCAACUCCAGAACUGCCUUUGAUACUGGGGAUCUCGAGUCCGGGAGAGGUGAGUGGAACUGCGAGUGUAGAGGUGAAAUUCGUAGAUAUUCGCAAGAACACCGGUGGCGAAAGCGGCUCACUGGGUCUUUGCUGACGCUGAGGCACGAAAGCUAGGGUAGCGAACGGG